rnacentral:rRNA from 1 species
UACAGAGACUGCAAGCGUUAUUCGGAUUCACUGGGCGUAAAGGGUGCGCAGGCGGUCCUGUGUGUCAGGUGUGAAAUCCCGGAGCUUAACUCCGGAACUGCGCCUGAAACUACACGACUAGAGCAUUGGAGAGGGAAGUGGAAUUCAUGGUGUAGCAGUGAAAUGCGUAGAUAUCAUGAGGAACACCAGAGGCGAAGGCGACUUCCUGGACAAUUGCUGACGCUCAGGCACGAAAGCAUGGGGAGCAAAAGGG